UGGCAAUAGGCAGGUGCACCGCGGCUCAGGUUAAUAUAACUCCCUCAUUGUUCUGUCUGAAGUUAGCCGCGCCUACCUACUACAUGGUCUACAUCUGAGCUGGAGUCCUUCCUGAUCUACAUACACAUCUACAUGAGACUGUGUCUACGCAUUGAAAACUGCAUAGGACUACACAUCCAUCCCUGAACGAGAGCAAUGUUGAGAAGAACGGCUCUCACUUGGGGCUUCCAAGGAGAAUGAUCCUGAGAUAAGAUGAACCGAGACU